UACGUAGGGGGCUAGCGUUGUCCGGAUUUAUUGGGCGUAAAGAGCGUGUAGGCGGCCAGAUAGGUCUGCUGUGAAAACUCGAGGCUCAACCUCGAGACGUCGGUGGAAACCGUUUGGCUAGAGUCCGGAAGAGGAGAGUGGAAUUCCCGGUGUAGCGGUGAAAUGCGCAGAUAUCGGGAAGAACACCCGUGGUGAAGGCGGCUCUCUGGGACGGUACUGACGCUGAGACGCGAAAGCGUGGGGAGCGAACAGG
rnacentral:rRNA from 1 species